rnacentral:tRNA from 1 species
UGGGACGUCGUCUAGUGGUAGGACAACGGAUUCUGGUUCCGUCAGCGGGAGUUCGACUCUCUCCGUCCCAGCCA